GUAGGUGGCAAGCGUUGUCCGGAAUUAUUGGGGCGUAAAGCGCGCGCAGGCGGUUCUUUAAGUCUGAUGUGAAAGCCCACGGGCUCAACCGUGGAGGGUCAUUGGAAACUGGAGAACUUGAGUACAGAAGAGGAAAGCGGAAUUCCACGUGUAGCGGUGAAAUGCGUAGAGAUGUGGAGGAACACCAGUGGCGAAGGCGGCUUUCUGGUCUGUAACUGACGCUGAGGCGCGAAAGCGUGGGGAGCAAACAGGAUUAGAUACCCUGGUAGUCCACGCCGUAAACGAUGAGUGCUAAGUGUUAGGGGGUUUCCGCCCCUUAGUGCUGCAGCUAACGCAUUAAGCACUCCGCCUGGGGAGUAUGGCCGCAAGGCUG
rnacentral:rRNA from 1 species